ACAUGUUGCAUGGCCCACGCAGCCCACAGCUGGACUCCUGGCGUGUGGAAGCACUCCAGCAAGGGAAAGAAGGGAUUGAACGACCUACGGGACAUGCGAUAUUUUCAUCUAUGGACAUCAAGCCGGCUUUCCCAUUCGUCACUCUUACCAACUGCUCCAAAAGGUACGACCUGAGUUCAGGGCAGAGAGUCCAAGCGUCCUUUCCCCGUGACGUGAGGUGCGCCAGGAUGCCGGCGGCGAAGUAGCUCACCUCCACCUCGGGGCUGUGCAGCAGAUUCCUGAUGUGGUCCAGGAAGGUGUGGACCAUCAGCUCGCAAUGCAGCUCGCCUACCUCAGCUAUGUUGUUCUAGUGCAGGACAAGGUA